rnacentral:rRNA from 1 species
GAUGAACGCUGGCGGCGUGCUUAACACAUGCAAGUCGAACGGAAAGGCCCAAGCUUGCUUGGGUACUCGAGUGGCGAACGGGUGAGUAACAAGUGGGUGAUCUGCCCUGCACUUCGGGAUAAGCAUGGGAAACUGGGGCUAAUAACGGAUAGGACCACAUUCUGGCUGGUGUGGUGGGAAGGUUUUAGGCGUGGGCUGAGUUCGCGGCCUAUCGGCUUGUUGGUGGGGUCAUGGGCUACCAAGGCGUAGCCGGGUAGCCGGCCGGAGGGGGUGUACGGCCCCAUUGGGCCUGAGAUACGGCCCCGGCUCCUACGGGUGGCAGCAGUGGGGCAUUGUGCACAAUGGGCGCGAGCCUGAUGCAGGGACGCCGCGUGGGGGAUGGCGGCCUUCGGGUUGUAAGCUCCGUUCGCUAGGGACGAAGCGGUGUGUGACGUUACCUGGUUAAGAAGCGCCGGCUAACUACGUG